UUCCAACUCCCAAUUUUUCGUCAAAAUCACUUUUAUCCCAAAACCCUUUAGCGGUUUAGCGGCUCCUCAUCACACUUCAGGUUCAAGCAAAGCUUUCAAGAGUUAUUGAGUUUCUAGAGCUUUCUCAACCCAGACCUAGGCUUGGAAGUUCGAGAAGCGGAGUUUGAGUUAGACGAAUCAUUUGGCGUUAGAGCUCCUGUUUGUUGCUACAGCAUACAAGGGACACAAACACUGGAAAAGAUCCAAAUUAUCAAAAACUUUGGGAAAUGACUAGAUGAAGCCAAAUGGACAGAUAAAGUGAAAGAUGUUAUUGCUGAAAAAGAUCAAGAAAUCGAAGAGGACACCGAUAUGGAUCCUACUAUCAAUGCUGCAUUUAUGGAAGUUGUGGGAGAAAAAUCAAAGUACAUUCUUGAUCAAGGAUCUUGAAUUAAGUCAGCAAGUAGGAUAUCGAGAAAUGAAAUUCAAGAGCAACUUAAAGCACGCCAAAAGGAAGCGAAAGAUGAACGUCAUAAAUGAGAGAGUGUAGAAAGCAAGCUAAUGGAAGUUAAAAAUCAGCUUGAAGAGGAAUGAAGAAAAUGAGAAGUAAUGGAAGUUCGUUUAGUGCAUGACCAAAAAAUGUUAAAAGAUAGCGUAAUGGCACUAGUUUCUCAUAUGCAAAGUUCUAAGAAUGGACUUUCGCUUUCGGCUACAAUUUUCAAUAUGAUUACAAAUUCAACUACUUCAUAUGAGACAAGUCCUGCAAGUCUUAGGGAUGACAACCGGGU